rnacentral:misc_RNA from 1 species
ACCGAUGAAGGCGAUUAUCAAAUCAAAAUGCGCAACAUCAACCGCUUCUUGGCUGACGGCGAUAAAGUCAAAGUAACACUUCGUUUCCGCGGACGUGAAAUGGCUCACCAGCAACUCGGGGCGCAACUUUUAGAGCGCGUGAAAGAGGAUUUGGCGGAAGUGGCUCAAAUCGAAUCCUUCCCUAAAAUGGAAGGCCGUCAAAUGGUGAUGAUGAUUGCACCGAAGAAAAAAUAAAGUUAUAAUUCUCAGCUUACUCUGAUUGCCGCUUCGGGGUAAGCUUUUGAUUGGCGGCAAAAACCGUGGCAUUUUGGGUUCAAGUGUUUGAAACCCA